rnacentral:rRNA from 1 species
GACGAACGCUGGCGGCGUGCUUAACACAUGCAAGUCGAACGGAAAGGCCCUGCUUUUGUGGGGUGCUCGAGUGGCGAACGGGUGAGUAACACGUGAGUAACCUGCCCUUGACUUUGGGAUAACUUCAGGAAACUGGGGCUAAUACCGGAUAGGAGCUCCUGCUGCAUGGUGGGGGUUGGAAAGUUUCGGCGGUUGGGGAUGGACGCGCGGCUUAUCUGCCUGUUGGUGGGGUAGUGGCUUACCAAGGCUUUGCCGGGUAGCCGGCCUGAGAGGGUGACCGGCCACAUUGGGACUGAGAUACGGGCCAGACUCCUACGGGAGGCAGCAGUGGGGAAUAGUGCACAAUGGGGGGAAGCCGGAUGCAGCAACGCCGCGUGCGGGAUGACGGCCUUCGGGUUGUAAACCGCUUUCGCCUGUGACGAAGCGUGAGUGACGGUAAUGGGUAAAGAAGCACCGGCUAACUACGUG